rnacentral:rRNA from 1 species
UACGAAGGGGGCUAGCGUUGCUCGGAAUCACUGGGCGUAAAGCGCACGUAGGCGGCUUCUUAAGUCAGGGGUGAAAUCCUGGAGCUCAACUCCAGAACUGCCUUUGAUACUGAGAAGCUUGAGUCCGGGAGAGGUGAGUGGAACUGCGAGUGUAGAGGUGAAAUUCGUAGAUAUUCGCAAGAACACCAGUGGCGAAGGCGGCUCACUGGACCGGCAUUGACGCUGAGGUGCGAAAGCGUGGGGAGCAAACAGG